CAGCCGCCACGGUAAAACGAAGGGGGCUAGCGUUGUUCGGAUUAACUGGGCGUAAAGGGCGCGUAGGCGGGUUUUUAAGUCAGAGGUGAAAUCCCAAGGCUCAACCUUGGAACUGUCUUUGAUACUGGAAGUCUUGAGUCCGGGAGAGGUGAGUGGAACUGCGAGUGUAGAGGUGAAAUUCGUAGAGAUGUGGAGGAACACCAGUGGCGAAGGCGACUCUCUGGUCCGGUACUGACGCUGAGGUGCGAAAGCGUGGGGAGCAAACAGGAUUAGAUACCCCGGUAGUCCCUGUCUCUUAUAC
rnacentral:rRNA from 1 species